rnacentral:lncRNA from 1 species
AGCCAGCUAAACAAAUAGAGACUACACAACCAUCUAUUUAACAAUUUACAAACUUACUUUCGCAGAUGUUUACGAAGAAGAUGAAGACGAAACCAAGAUCAAUGAAAUUACCUAAACAAAAAAAGCAGAGUAAGUUACAAACUCGAUAAAUACAAUUAACAAUGAUUUUUUGUUUACAUAUUAUCCAUCAAAUAAAAGAGAAACAAACACAACCACACCAGGAGAUACAAGAGACAAUCCCAACAUACACAAAGGCGGCAACAACAUCUCCACCUGCUCACUCCUCUUGUCUUAUGAAAAUAGCUUGCAUGCUCAAUGCCAACAGACCAAUGCUAUUGUCUUCUUAUGAGAAAUACAUAUAUUCGUUUAAAACCCAUUAACGGCCAAAUACUAAUUGUCGCUCAUUUUAUAGUUAUUUCUACAAAUUUUUAUGUAUUUGUUUUAAAGGUCCGGUAAAAGCAACAAAUUUAAAAAUAAAAAAAUAUAUAACCAACAUAAAAAGAAUAAAAAAAAUUAUUACUUAAUACACACAAUUUACACAACUAAACUGGAGAAAAAAUAUCUAGAAACAAAAGUUACGGUCAACAACAUUAAUAUAAUUUAUGUAAUCUCAACAUUAUAAAUAACAAAUUAAAAAGACAAACAAACAAUAAGUUUUAGUAACACAUCAAGUGACACAUCAACCAACACCAUAAACUAUAUCAAUCACAUUACUAACACAAUUUAGUCCUUCAUGAGUGAAGAACAGUGCAUACACAAUUCAUCAUCACAACUCUAACCCUUUAACAAUAAAAAACUUGAAAACAAUGAUCAACCCAAAACGCAAAAUUCACAGCUACAAUAAUCCUAACAAAUAUUGUGAUAAAAAAAGAAUUAUGUCAAUAAUCUUGUGCUUGCGCAGGGGCAAUACCCCUAGUAUAUACAAUCAUAGAGUCGGCAAACUAUCAUAAUACAGUAUUAAGAUGGAUACAAAUAUAUAUCAUAGUUCUACGUAUUUGAGAACAUAUUAUUAUAAUUUGACAUAUAUUACGAUAAAUAUUAUUCACACAUUAUUUAUACCACUAUUAAACUAUAUACUAUAAUUAAAAAAAAGAUCUUUUUCAUAUCCAGUAAUAAAUAUGCUAAAUGGAUUUUUAAACAGA